rnacentral:rRNA from 1 species
GUGUCAGCCGCCGCGGUAAUACGUAGGUGGCAAGCGUUAUCCGGAAUUACUGGGCGUAAAGCGCACGCAGGCGGUCUCUUAAGUUUGACGUGAAAGCUCCCGGCUUAACUGGGAGAGGUCGUUGAAUACUGGGGGACUUGAGGCAAUGAGAGGGGUGUAGAAUUCCCGGUGUAGUGGUGGAAUGCGUAGAUAUCGGGGGGAAUACCAGUGGCGAAAGCGGCACCCUAGCGUUGUUCUGACGCUCAUGUGCGAAAGCGUGGGGAGCGAACGGGAUUAGAAACCCGGGUAGUCC